CAUCGAGACUCCUACGGGAGGCAGCAGUGGGGAAUAUUGCACAAUGGGGGAAACCCUGAUGCAGCCAUGCCGCGUGUGUGAAGAAGGCCUUCGGGUUGUAAAGCACUUUCAGUAGGGAGGAAGGUAGUGUAGUUAACACCUGCAUUAUUUGACGUUACCUACAGAAGAAGCACCGGCUAACUCCGUGCCAGCAGCCGCGGUAAUACGGAGGGUGCGAGCGUUAAUCGGAAUUACUGGGCGUAAAGCGCAUGCAGGCGGCCUGUUAAGUCAGAUGUGAAAGCCCGGGGCUUAACCUCGGAAUUGCAUUUGAAACUGGCAGGCUAGAGUCUUGUAGAGGGGGGUAGAAUUUCAGGUGUAGCGGUGAAAAUGCGUAGAGAUCUGAAGGAAUACCAGUGGCGAAGGCGGCCCCCUGGACAAAGACUGACGCUCAGAUGCGAAAAGCGUGGGGAGCAAACAGGAUUAGAUACCCCUGGUAA
rnacentral:rRNA from 1 species